rnacentral:rRNA from 1 species
UACAUAGGGGGCAAGCGUUGUCCGGAAUUAUUGGGUGUAAAGGGUGCGUAGACGGAGGAGCAAGUUGGCUGUGAAAUCCCUCGGCUUAACUGAGGAACUGCAACCAAAACUACUUCCCUUGAGUGUCGGAGGGGAAAGUGGAAUUCCUAGUGUAGCGGUGAAAUGCGUAGAUAUUAGGAGGAACACCGGUGGCGAAGGCGACUUUCUGGACGAUAACUGACGUUGAGGCACGAAAGUGUGGGGAG